rnacentral:lncRNA from 1 species
GCGGCGCGGGGGCGGUUGGAGCGCUGAUCCUAAUUGGACGCGACGCGUGGCUCCUCCAUCAUCCUCCCGCAGCCCCUGCCGGCUCGCAGCGCCUGGGCGGCCGCUGACUGCGGCUCCGCGGGGGAGCGGCAGCCGCCGGGGCAGGUGUUGCCGCCGGGUGGCCGCCCCCCGCGGCGAGGCGGGCCGCGCUGCGCAGUGCCGUGCUGGCUCCCCGCCCGCUCCCACCCCCCUCCUUCUCUCCCCCCGGGCGGCCAUGUUGUCCCCCGGCGCGGCGGCCGUGGUGAAGGCGUGACGAAGCAGAAAGGUUGCGUCGGAGCCCUUCCUUUGACGCAGAUGAAGAGUGCUGCACGCAGCAGGGCCGCGUGUCAGCAGGAGAAGCUGCCAAGCUCUCCCCGCCCAUCACACCCUGCCAGGGCCUGUCUGUAAGAUUGGUGUUUUGGAGGACCUCUGAGCAUUUCUGAAGAACUAAAGAAUUAUUCCUCACAGCAACCCAUAAGGUGGUCUUUGGUUCAGAGGGUGCUGUGAGGCCUCCAGGUGCUCUGAAAGACCCCUCUGACUGAACCUGGAGCUGGAGGAAGGCAGGCUUUAGCGGAGAGGAGAUCCAGGGAGGGGGCACCUGGAGCAAUGGCAGGGCUCUGA